CCUACGGGCUGCAGCAGUGGGGAAUAUUGGACAAUGGGCGAAAGCCUGAUCCAGCCAUGCCGCGUGUGUGAAGAAGGCCUUCGGGUUGUAAAGCACUUUCAGUGGGGAAGAAAGCCUUGGGGCUAAUACCCUCGAGGAAGGACAUCACCCACAGAAGAAGCACCGGCUAACUCCGUGCCAGCAGCCGCGGUAAUACGGAGGGUGCGAGCGUUAAUCGGAAUUACUGGGCGUAAAGCGCGCGUAGGCGGUCUGAUAAGCCGGUUGUGAAAGCCCCGGGCUCAACCUGGGAACGGCAUCCGGAACUGUCAGGCUAGAGUGCAGGAGAGGAAGGUAGAAUUCCCGGUGUAGCGGUGAAAUGCGUAGAGAUCGGGAGGAAUACCAGUGGCGAAGGCGGCCUUCUGGACUGACACUGACGCUGAGGUGCGAAAGCGUGGGUAGCAAACAGGAUUAGAUACCCCGGUAGUC
rnacentral:rRNA from 1 species